rnacentral:rRNA from 1 species
GAUCCUGGCUCAGGAUGAACGCUGGCGGCGUGCCUAACACAUGCAAGUCGAGCGAAGCGUUUUGAAGGAAGUUUUCGGAUGGAAUUUGAAAUGACUGAGCGGCGGACGGGUGAGUAACGCGUGGGUAACCUGCCUCAUACAGGGGGAUAACAGUUAGAAAUGACUGCUAAUACCGCAUAAGCACACAGUACCGCCAUGGUACAGUGUGAAAAACUCCGGUGGUAUGAGAUGGACCCGCGU